rnacentral:RNase_P_RNA from 1 species
CGAGCCGGCCGGGCGAUUGCGUCAGUAAACGGAACCAGGUGCAUCUUUUGGUGCAUUCAAGGCCGCUGUCGAGGAAAGUCCGGACUCCAUAUGGGCAUGGUGGUUGCUAACAGCAACCCAGGGUGACCUGCGGGAAUAGUGCCACAGAAAAUAGACCGCCGAGCACGCAGCCGAGGUUUUACCGUCUGCCGCGGCAGACUCGGUCAGGGUGAAAAGGUGCGGUAAGAGCGCACCAGCGGGGCAAGUGAUUGCACCGGCUAGGUAAACCCCACCAGGAGCAAGGCAAAAGCGCGCAUGCUUGUCGUGUGCGUGCGCGAGUGUUUGAGGGCUGCCCGCCCGAUACUCGUGGGUGUGCUGCUUGAGCCUGUCAGCAAUGGCAGACCGAGAUGGAUGAUCGCCACCGUAUGCGCCCGCAAGGGACAUGGCGGGACAGAAUCCGGCUUACAGGCCGACUCGCUCC